GGAAGUCUGAGGGUGACCUGGCUGCAACUCACAUCACCCCCUUGAUAACCAGGUUUGAUUUGGUUGAUGUGGCUGGUGAGGGGGUGUCCCCUUUCACCCUCACAUCUCCAAGAGUAUCCCUGCUAAAGCUGUGUGCUUUGUCAAAGAGGAUGACCUUCCCCGAAUAGAGGAAAGCCGGUCUUAUGCUAAGGGUAUAUGAGGUAGCUGUGCUCCCAUGCUAUAACAUCCAAGCAAACUCGCAAAGGGAUGCUUAAGAGAACCCCAAAGACUCUAACCCGGUGGUUUAAGAGAUAGUGU
ensembl:misc_RNA 7SK 7SK RNA